rnacentral:rRNA from 1 species
GAUGAACGCUGGCGGCGUGCCUAAUACAUGCAAGUCGAGCGAACGGACGAGAAGCUUGCUUCUCUGAUGUUAGCGGCGGACGGGUGAGUAACACGUGGAUAACCUACCUAUAAGACUGGGAUAACUUCGGGAAACCGGAGCUAAUACCGGAUAAUAUUUUGAACCGCAUGGUUCAAAAGUGAAAGACGGUCUUGCUGUCACUUAUAGAUGGAUCCGCGCUGCAUUAGCUAGUUGGUAAGGUAACGGCUUACCAAGGCAACGAUGCAUAGCCGACCUGAGAGGGUGAUCGGCCACACUGGAACUGAGACACGGUCCAGACUCCUACGGGAGGCAGCAGUAGGGAAUCUUCCGCAAUGGGCGAAAGCCUGACGGAGCAACGCCGCGUGAGUGAUGAAGGUCUUCGGAUCGUAAAACUCUGUUAUUAGGGAAGAACAUCUGUGUAAGUAACUGUGCACAUCUUGACGGUACCUAAUCAGAAAGCCACGGCUAACUACGUG